UACGUAGGGUGCAAGCGUUAAUCGGAAUUACUGGGCGUAAAGCGUGCGCAGGCGGUGAUGUAAGACAGUUGUGAAAUCCCCGGGCUCAACCUGGGAACUGCAUCUGUGACUGCAUCGCUGGAGUACGGUAGAGGGGGAUGGAAUUCCGCGUGUAGCAGUGAAAUGCGCAGAUAUCGGGAGGAACACCCGUGGCGAAGGCGGCACUCUGGGACGGUACUGACGCUGAGACGCGAAAGCGUGGGGAGCAAACAGG
rnacentral:rRNA from 1 species